AUUCAUCUUCGGGGCAGGGUGAAAUUCCCUACCGGCGGUAAUAGAGUCGUAAAUUGUUUGUGUAUUUUAAAAUUACACAAACUCGAAAAUUUACAAUACUACUCUUCAGCCCGCGACCUGUGCAAUUUUUUUGCAUGGCUGACUUGGUGUGAUUCCAAGGCCGACAGUUACAGUCUGGAUGGGAGAAGAUGGAG
rnacentral:ncRNA from 1 species